rnacentral:rRNA from 1 species
GACGAAGGUGGCGAGCGUUGUUCGGAAUCACUGGGCCUAAAGCGCACGUAGGCGGUGUCGUAAGUCGGAUGUGAAAUCCCUCGGCCUAACCGAGGAACUGCGUCCGAUACUGCGAUGCUUGAGGACCAGAGGGGUGCAUGGAAUUUCCGGUGGAGCGGUGAAAUGCGUUGAUAUCGGAAGGAACGCCGGCGGCGAAAGCGAUGCACUGGCUGGUUUCUGACGCUGAGGUGCGAAGGCCAGGGGAGCAAACGGG